rnacentral:rRNA from 1 species
AAGGAUCAUUAUCGAGAGCCCGGGGUCUAACCGGCCCCCCUCUUCACCCGUGCGUACCGUUACCAUGUUGCUUUGGCGGGCGUGGACGCCCCGAUGCGGCCCGCGGGGCCUUCCCCGCGCGGCGGGCGCCCGUCAGAGGCCCCUUGAAACCCACAUAUGGCCUUGUCCGAGCAAGCUUCAAUAGUUAAAACUUUCAACAACGGAUCUCUUGGUUCUGGCAUCGAUGAAGAACGCAGCGAAAUGCGAUAAGUAAUGUGAAUUGCAGAAUUCAGUGAAUCAUCGAAUCUUUGAACGCACAUUGCGCCCUCUGGCAUUCCGGGGGGCAUGCCUGUUCGAGCGUCAUUACAACCCUCAAGCUGUGCUUGGUGUUGGGCCUCGCCCGCUAGGGCGGACCCGAAAUGCAGUGGCGGUCCAGCGAGACCUUAGGCGUAGUACGAUUUUCAAUCCCGCUUCCCAGCUCUUGCCGGGCCGGCCAGCCCAAAGCGAAGUUUACUUCCACAAAUCGACCUCGGAUCAGGUAGGAAAUACCCCGCUGAACUUAA